UUUCUUCCGACCUAUUUUCCAAUUCCCUUAACUUUCUCUCCCGUCUUUUUCAGUGCUAUAAAAUUAUUUUAGUAUUAUCCGCCCAAGAUUGAACACGUAGUAAAGAUGGACGAACAUAUCAUCAGUUACCAUCUCAGGUGAAAAGCAUCAAAAUACAUCAAUUAAACGCUCUAAAUAAUCUUCUCAAGCAACUGCCUGAGGAACAGACAAUGGGUUGCUUUUAUAAGAACACUGUUGUGGGAAGACCUCGGAUGAAUUAGAUGAAUUUGUGCUCGGGGGUCGUGUCAUGUAACAUAUCCCUCAUCGUCUCCAACCGGUUCUUCCGCAGAGAAUCUGCUUGUAAAAUCCCACACAACCUCCAAAUAUCCACAGAGAAAAAUGCCUUUCUCCUGUCAUGAUGGCAGUGAGCUGCCCUGGAGUAAGCCGAGAUGCUUUCUGCUUCUACGAUGUGAUUCUCUCUGCGGUCUGCAGGACGGUCUUCGGUACGCAUCUUCUUUGCCGGGAUUGUUCCCGAGAGCGUUGGCCAAUAUGCUUCCUGCAUGCAAAUCUCCGAGUGUGUUUGCUAGGGCCCUGAGCUGCAGUGGAUAAUGGAAAUGAUGAUUCUUUUUGUAAGGGAUUUUCUGGAGCUCCUCUCGUUGAGAGUAGAAGGAACAGACAAUGAAAAGCAAAGCGGCUGAGUGGUUUGGGGGCCGUGGCCUUGUGGCAGAUGCAGAGAGGCAGAGCUUUGUGAAGACCUUGACUGGCAGGCCCAUCACCAUCACGGUCGAGCCCAGUGACACCCCUGAGAAUGUCAAA